rnacentral:lncRNA from 1 species
UUUCCCUUUCACAUAUUUACAAAAUGCGCCGCUUUAAUCAUAUAAUAUUUUAUUGUAUUGACUAAGGUGUAAUAUGAGCAAAGGGAAAGGACUAAUCCGCAAUAUUCCCACAAUCCCAUCGUAACCACCCAAUAUCUCCACGAUUCCAUCAUAACCAUCCAUUAUCUCACAAUCCCAUCGUGACCAUACAAAAUCUCUUCCACAAUCCUCGAUUCUCAUCGCACGUUUCCCUCAAAUCGGUUACAACCACCCACAUCCCACGACCCCAUCCUACGAUCCCGUAACCUCCUCACCCAUACGCACGUUUUCCUCAACCACCCUCAAAUCGUACGCACGUCUCCCUCAAAUCACCCCAUAAAUACCUUUCAAAAAAAAAU